GAUGAACGCUGGCGGCGUGCCUAAUACAUGCAAGUCGAGCGAACAGAUGAGGAGCUUGCUCCUCUGACGUUAGCGGCGGACGGGUGAGUAACACGUGGAUAACCUACCUAUCAGACUGGGAUAACUUCGGGAAACCGGAGCUAAUACCGGAUAAUAUAUUGAACCGCAUGGUUCAAUAGUGAAAGACGGUUUUGCUGUCACUUAUAGAUGGAUCCGCGCCGCAUUAGCUAGUUGGUAAGGUAACGGCUUACCAAGGCAACGAUGCGUAGCCGACCUGAGAGGGUGAUCGGCCACACUGGAACUGAGACACGGUCCAGACUCCUACGGGAGGCAGCAGUAGGGAAUCUUCCGCAAUGGGCGAAAGCCUGACGGAGCAACGCCGCGUGAGUGAUGAAGGUCUUCGGAUCGUAAAACUCUGUUAUGAGGGAAGAACAAAUGUGGAAGUAACUAUGCACGUCGUGACGGUACCUAAUCAGAAAGCCACGGCUAACUACGUG
rnacentral:rRNA from 1 species